GCCAGACUCCUACGGGAGGCAGCAGUGGGGAAUAUUGCAUAAUGGGGGGAACCCUGAUGCAGCGACGCCGCGUGGGUGAAGGAGCACCUCGGUGCGUAAAGCCCUAUCGGCAGGGAAGAAACAGACGGUACCUGACUAAGAAGCCCCGGCUAACUACGUGCCAGCAGCCGCGGUAAUACGUAGGGGGCAAGCGUUAUCCGGAUUCACUGGGUGUAAAGGGAGCGUAGACGGCGACGCAAGUCUGGAGUGAAAGCCCGGGGCCCAACCCCGGGACUGCUCUGGAAACUGCGGCGCUGGAGUGCGGGAGGGGCAGGCGGAAUUCCUGGUGUAGCGGUGAAAUGCGUAGAUAUCAGGAGGAACACCGGCGGCGAAGGCGGCCUGCUGGGCCGUGACUGACGUUGAGGCUCGAGAGCGUGGGGAGCAAACAGGAUUAGAUACCCGCGUAU
rnacentral:rRNA from 1 species